AGCAUACAGGCAUACGGCUCAGUAACGCGUAGUCAACCUAACCUAUGGACGGGAAUAACCUCGGGAAACUGAGAAUAAUGCCCGAUAGAACAUUAUGCCUGGAAUGGUUUAUGUUCCAAAUGAUUUAUCGCCGUAGGAUGGGACUGCGGCCUAUCAGUUUGUUGGUGAGGCAAUGGCCCACCAAGACUAUUACAGGUACGGGCUCUGAGAGGAGUAGCCCGGAGAUGGGUACUGAGACACGGACCCAGGCCCUAUGGGGCGCAGCAGGCGAGAAAACUUUGCAAUGUGCGAAAGCACGACAAGGUUAAUCCGAGUGGUUUCUGCUAAAGAAACCUUUUGUCAGUCCUAGAAACACUGAUGAAUAAGGGGUGGGCAAGUUCUGGUGUCAGCCGCCGCGGUAAGACCAGCACCUCAAGUGGUCAGGAUGAUUAUUGGGCCUAAAGCAUCCGUAGCCGGCUCUGUAAGUUUUCGGUUAAAUCUGUACGCUCAACGUACAGGCUGCCGGGAAUACUGCAUAGCUAGGGAGUGGGAGAGGUAGACGGUACUCGGUAGGAAGGGGUAAAAUCCUUUGAUCUAUUGAUGACCACCUGUGGCGAAGGCGGUCUACCAGAACACGUCCGACGGUGAGGGAUGAAAGCUGGGGGAGCAAACCGGAUUAGAUACCCGGGUAGUCCCAGCUGUAAACUAUGCAAACUCAGUGAUGCAUUGGCUUGUGGCCAAUGCAGUGCUGCAGGGAAGCCGUUAAGUUUGCCGCCUGGGAAGUACGUACGCAAGUAUGAAACUUAAAGGAAUUGGCGGGGGAGCACCACAAGGGGUGAAGCCUGCGGUUCAAUUGGAUUCAACGCCGGA
rnacentral:rRNA from 1 species